GAUGAACGCUAGCGGCAGGCCUAAUACAUGCAAGUCGAACGGUAACAGGCCGCAAGGUGCUGACGAGUGGCGAACGGGUGAGUAAUGCAUCGGAACGUGCCCAGUCGUGGGGGAUAACGCAGCGAAAGCUGCGCUAAUACCGCAUACGAUCUAUGGAUGAAAGCGGGGGAACGUAAGGCCUCGCGCGAUUGGAGCGGCCGAUGUCAGAUUAGGUAGUUGGUGGGGUAAAGGCUCACCAAGCCAACGAUCUGUAGCGGGUCUGAGAGGACGACCAGCCACACUGGGACUGAGACACGGCCCAGACUCCUACGGGAGGCAGCAGUGGGGAAUUUUGGACAAUGGGCGCAAGCCUGAUCCAGCAAUGCCGCGUGCAGGAAGAAGGCCUUCGGGUUGUAAACUGCUUUUGUACGGAACGAAACGGUCCUGGUUAAUACCUGGGGCUAAUGACGGUACCGUAAGAAUAAGCACCGGCUAACUACGUGCCAGCCGCCGCAGUAAUAC
rnacentral:rRNA from 1 species